rnacentral:rRNA from 1 species
GGAUUAGGCAUGCAAGUCGAACGAGGAUAUACCUUUCGGGGUAUAAACCGAGUGGCGCAAGGGUGAGUAAUGCAUAGAUUACCUGCCUCUAGGAUAAGGACAACUUUGUGAAAACGAAGCUAAUACUUAAUAAUACAAGAGAGAAUAAUUCUUUUUUGUCAAUGGGAGGGUAGCAAUACCUUUUGCCUAGAGAGGGGUUUAUGUCCUAUCAGCUUGUUGGUGGGGUAAUGGCCUACCAAGGCGAAGACGGGUAGCCGGUCUUAGAGGAUGGUCGGCCACACUGGGACUGAGACACUGCCCAGACUUCUACGGAAGGCUGCAGUCGAGAAUCUUUCGCAAUGCCCGAAAGGGUGACGAAGCGACGCCGCGUGAGUGAGGAAGGCCUUCGGGUUGUAAAGCUCUGUCAGGCGUUAAGAAAUAUAAGUGUGCUAAUACCACAUUUAUUUGACAAAGGCGCCAAAGGAAGCCACGGCUAACUCUGUGCCAGCAGCCGCGGUAAUACAGAGGUGGCAAGCGUUGUUCGGAAUUAUUGGGCGUAAAGAGCACGUAGGUGGGUUCGUAAGUCAGAUGUGAAAGCCUUCUGUUCAACGGAAGAAUUGCAUCUGAAACUGCGAGUCUUGAGUGUAGGAGGGGAGAAUGGAACUUCUGGUGGAGCGGUGAAAUGCGUAGAUAUCAGAAGGAACGCCGGCGGCGAAAGCGAUUCUCUGGCCUAUUACUGACACUCAGUGUGCGAAAGCUAGGGGAGCAAACGGGAUUAGAUACCCCGGUAGUCCUAGCUGUAAACGAUGGGCACUAAGUAGAGGGAAUUACCGAUGUUCUCUCUGCCGUAGCUAACGCAUUAAGUGCCCCGCCUGGGGAGUACGGCCGCAAGGCUAAAACUCAAAAGAAUUGACGGGGGCUCGCACAAGCGGUGGAGCAUGUGGCUUAAUUCGAUGCAACGCGAAAAACCUUACCGGGGCUUGACAUGGUAGAAGUAGGAACCCGAAAGGGUAACGAACGGUAUCCAGUCCGUAGCUAUCACAGGUGUUGCAUGGCUGUCGUCAGCUCGUGUCGUGAGACGUUGGGUUAAGUCCCCUAACGAGCGAAACCCUUGUUUUUAGUUACCAGCGGGUUAUGCCGGGUACUCUAGAAAGACUGCCGUCGUCAAGACGGAGGAAGGUGGGGAUGACGUCAAGUCAUCAUGGCCCUUAUGCCCCGGGCUGCACACGUGCUACAAUGGUCGGUACAAACGGAAGCGAAGCCGAGAGGUGGAGCGAAUCCUAAAAAGCCGAUCUCAGUUCGGAUUGGAGGCUGAAAUUCGCCUCCACGAAGUUGGAAUCGCUAGUAAUCGCGGAUCAGCAUUGCCGCGGUGAAUAUGUUCCCGAGCCUUGUACACACCGCCCGU